rnacentral:lncRNA from 1 species
UCCCAUGCCAGCGUCGCCGGGCCCGCCGGACCCUCGCCUACCUCGCGCUGGUGGUCACCGUCCUCUUCCAUUGCUUGUUCGCCAGCGCCGUCUGGGUCUUCCUCACCGCCGACCCAGGAUACAUCUUCGGCAGGAUCUACUUCACCGCGGGCUUCUGCUUCUUCGUGGUGGGCGACCUCCUCAGCUUCCGGGCCCUUCUGGGAGGUGAUGGGUGGGGCAUGAAGUACGUAGCCUAUUUCUUCUGAUCAUGUUCGUGGAUCAGCUCAUGAGGUACUACUGAUGAGAGCGUAGUUCUAGGGCGUACUCUAGAGUAUGCAUUGAUUCUGCUGUGACGACUGAUAUGGAGUAGUGCCAUAUUUGCGAAUCUAGUAACUGGUGUAGUGUUAAUUAGUAUCCAGAUCGACUCUAGUAGUAGUUACUCCAUUUGGGCAAUGCUUUGCUGGCUAGUAUAUAAUUAGACUGGAUGGAUUGGUAGAUUGCGGUUAUCUUUGCUGUAUUAUUCAACCCUCUAUGUAUGCAUGUGAUCGUCAGACAUGAGUUAUAUCUUAUAUAGGUCCAGCUUCGCUAUAAUUUGAUGUUUCUGAAAUUGCUGCUGCAGUGUAUAUCUAUGCACACAUUGUUGUUUCUGAUGUUAAAUUUUGUUUUUAUUCAUUCCGGCAACCGCUGGCUUGUCCUCUCGGCUGGGCUGCGUGGGGUGCUCUCAGCUGAGAUUGAGUGACCCCCGUCCCGACCAUGCUUGUGACCAUGCAAUCACAAUUUGAUGUAUGGGACACCAUGGUUUGAAAUGCCCUCCUGCCGAUUGAGGUUCUUUUUUUAUGCUUUUACCUAUGGAGAUCCACACGCCGACACUUGACUUGUGGGAGCGCGCGGUUUCACCACAACGCCGCGCGUGUAGCCACAUAUGGCGGAUGUAAUACAAAAAUAAAGAACGCAAUGGUCCUCCUUGAACCUUCAAAAAAUAAGUAUCUUCUGAUCGUGGAGUCGAUAUUUGGGUCACGAGUUAUCAAUCAUCCAAAGAGUUGUGAAAUUGUUUCACAACUUACACAUCCCGGUACGCCUCAAACUAAUGGGGUAUCCGAAAGGCAUAAUUGAACUUUGUUGGAUGUGGUUCAACUAAGAGAGAAAUACAUAUUUCAACCUUCUCAACUUCUAGUUUAAUUUAGAACCCCAACUCCAAAUACGGUUAGGACACCGUUUGAUUAGCCGCAUAGGACGAUUGGAGGGUGGUUCUACAUGAUGUAGCAUCUAGGCUAACUAGUCAACGUUGAUGGCAGCUAGGUCAUAAAAGUAAAAGAUAUAUUGAUUGUCCCGCAUAUCAUACCAUAAUNNNNNNNNNNNNNNNNNNNNNNNNNNNNNNNNNNNNNNNNNNNNNNNNNNNNNNNNNNNNNNNNNNNNNNNNNNNNNNNNNNNNNNNNNNNNNNNNNNNNNNNNNNNNNNNNNNNNNNNNNNNNNNNNNNNNNNNNNNNNNNNNNNNNNNNNNNNNNNNNNNNNNNNNNNNNNNNNNNNNNNNNNNNNNNNNNNNNNNNNNNNNNNNNNNNNNNNNNNNNNNNNNNNNNNNNNNNNNNNNNNNNNNNNNNNNNNNNNNNNNNNNNNNNNNNNNNNNNNNNNNNNNNNNNNNNNNNNNNNNNNNNNNNNNNNNNNNNNNNNNNNNNNNNNNNNNNNNNNNNNNNNNNNNNNNNNNNNNNNNNNNNNNNNNNNNNNNNNNNNNNNNNNNNNNNNNNNNNNNNNNNNNNNNNNNNNNNNNNNNNNNNNNNNNNNNNNNNNNNNNNNNNNNNNNNNNNNNNNNNNNNNNNNNNNNNNNNNNNNNNNNNNNNNNNNNNNNNNNNNNNNNNNNNNNNNNNNNNNNNNNNNNNNNNNNNNNNNNNNNNNNNNNNNNNNNNNNNNNNNNNNNNNNNNNNNNNNNNNNNNNNUGGGAGUGUUGGGGCUUUGUGCCGAAGAAGACAUGGAUAACGACUCGCUAGCGUGGCCCGGCAUGCCCCGGUUCUCUAGGGCCACUUUGGCCUCGUGUCAUGCUAGCUCAUGCAUAGUAUCACUAGUAGAGAAAUAGUUACUCACAAUAAAAAGUGGUGACACACCAGUUUCAAUCCAGGCCAUCACUGAUUUUUUAAAAUAGCAGUGGUGUUGGCAUAUUUCGCACACCCUAUGUAAUGCAUUAUUGGUGGCGUGGAAACAAAUUGGUACACCAUCAGUAUGUGGGACCCAGUAGUCUGGGCGGGUUGCAAGAUUAAUGGUGGCGUGUCAAAUUUUACCAUGCAACCACUAUUGUAAGGGGAAACCUUGUUUUUGCCCACUUUGCAUAUGCCACUCUAGAAUUUGCCAUUUCAUUUUCGCCACUUUUAGCUUUUUACAAUACAUCACAAUUGCAAUUAUGUGGCAAAAGCAAAAAUUUCAGGAGUGACAAUUGAGAUACGGUGUCAAAAGCCAAGACUGUAAAAGUGAAACCGUUUUUUUUUUGCUUUUGCCAAAAAAAAUGACAUUUGUGAUACAUUGUCAAAAGGUAAGAGUGGCCAAAUUGAGUUGUCAAAUUCUAGAGUGGCAUAAACAAAGUGGAAACAAAAUUAGAGUGGCAAUUUUUCCCCUAUUUUAAAUAGGUAUGUUGUGUUACUUUUUGUUACGCCGCCAAUAUAUUAAGGGUCCGAAUAACUGCCACACGUGUGGCGUCGAUAGGAACCCGCCCGCACGCCUCGUGCGGCAUAGACGGGGAUCGGCCCGCACGACCACGUCCGAGCGCACAAAAGCACGGCCCGCACGUCCGGUGUGUGGCAACCCCUCCCGCACUGCCCCGUCCGGGCCAGAAGACCGGCUGCCCGCACGACCCAGUCGAUCCACGCCUCUGAUCCAUCCCCUCUCUCGUACGCCGCCAUCGUCCCCCACCUCUCGAACCCCGACAUCCGUCGCCGGCCAUCCCUGGUUGCCAUGGCAACCAGGGCAGAUCCGUAGGGCGCUCCGACCCCAAACCACACCCUAACCCUUCCCAUCCCCAGCCGCCCACUCCAAUCCAGCCCUCCAGACACGAUCAACUAAAACCAGGUGAAAAAUCUCGAUCUCGUCCUUCCCUCUCAUCCUUAAGGCUGAAAAUCUCCCAAUCUUGUACUGGGUCCAUACUAUAGGGGUAGAACACUGCAUGGUUCGGUGUAUAUUCGCAAUUGCCAGGCAGAAUACACCAGAUUUGCCAUGUACUACGUUUGAGGUUAACUUAGGUGCCUAGUUUAGGCACUUAAGUAGUUGGGUAUGAAAUGGAUGAGUAGGAAUCCCUAAAAAAGGGCAGGAAGGACGAUUUUUUGAAUGAAGAGGGUGGGAAAAAAUAAUUGCCACUUGUGUGUAACGACAGUUGCCGCUUGUGUAUGAUGACAAUUGCCACCUAUUUUGACCUGUUGCUUGCCAUCCCUAUCUUCCAUGUGCAAGCAGCAGAAGAAUACAAUUCUUGUGGAUUAUUGAUGCCUUUUUGAUCAUCCAGUGAUUGAGAACAUGUCGGAAAAGAAUCGAGACGCGGAAAGGAUGAAUCGCGAAGGUGGCGCUGAUGCUUGGGGUUCUAAAAGGCCAGAAACACCGCCUUGGGAUGCAGCAGAGUAUAGUCAACUCAUCUCUGCAGGGCCGUUGCUGCCACUACUAGAAUAGUAUGCAGGCGUAGGUAUGAUGCGUGGUAACAAAAAGAAGAGAGCAGUUGCCAACUUCGCAACGAUGAAGAUGACAUUCUACUUAUGUCCUACACUCCCAUUUUUUUGCAGGUUCUUAUGACCAAAACACUCUCAGGGGGGCCCCAUGGCAAGUUCAGUCACAAGGCGCUAACACUGACAUAUUUACGGGCAACCAACCUCAACUAGCUAGUAUGGCUAAUCAAGGUAAUGCAAAAACCAAAAAAAACACAUACUGCUGUGGACGUGAAAAAUGGACAUGCAAAAAAACUGGCAAGAGGACUCAUGAGUUAUCACGGGUGAAAAUGCAGGGCCUUCAUGCAGCACGUGGCAUCAGCCAACACCCAUGUACCUGCCAUCCACGUCAUACAUAGGUCAGUCCAUAAAAAAAGUGAAGUUGCGGAUGUUCAAUUAGUAGAAGGGGCAUAGUUGGCAGCUCCAAAUUGCCAUGACUGGACUUCUACAAUUGCCAUGAAUUUAAAACUAUAUUUGCCAUCCCUGGACAACUGUUGUUGCCAUCAGUGGACACUUGCAGUUGCCAUGGAGAAACAACUGCAGUUGCCAUGCCAGAGCAACUACAGUUGCCAUGUCAUCGCAACUGCAGUUGCCAUGGAGGAACAACUGCGGUUGCCAUGCCGAUGCAACUAUAGUUGCCAUGCCAGUAAAACUGCAGUUGCCACAUCAGGGGCGACUGCAGUUGCCGUGCUAGCACAAACUGCAAAUUGCCAUGAAUUGACCAACCACUACUAUGCUUACAGCGUAUUACGCUGGUGGUGACACGGCAAUCGUCCCGUGGCAAGCUUCACAAAUUGCAGGUGGAGCACGACAUUUUGGUGUCACAGACCACACAAGAUGGCCAAAUGCAACACAACAAGGUAAGGAAAAAAAAUGAACCACAAAAAACAUCACUACAUUUGUUGUUUGUAGUUUUUUGUAGGAAAAACAAUAGUUGCCAUGUUUGUUGAACAGUACCUGCCAUGACUGGACAGCUACAGCUGCCACACAUGUCCACACGCAGUCUCACGGCUUGCUGUUUGAAAAUAUGUCGUGCCAAAUCAAUCGAAGAUGGUGUGAUCCGUUGUGAUACACAUCUUAUUCAACCAAAAAAUCUUACUCUCGUGCUUGUUUUUUCUAUUACAGAACCUACAACUACAGUGAACAGCGGUGCGGGGACAUCUACUGCGGGGAGCUCUGAGCGCACGGAAGACGCGUUCCACCAGCCAGCAGACUGUCAUGCCGCAAACAAUUUCGAGUAAGAGUCGGGAAUGGCAAUCAUUCCAGCAAUGCCGACGAGCACCCCUUUGAACACAAGCACUAGCAACACUCGAGUAGAUGGAACUGCCGCCGAUACUGAAGCGAAUGAUGAAACUGACGAUGAUGCACAAGAGGAUGAAGAUGGUGGGCAAUCCGAGAUCGUGGUACCUCAGCCACCAUACAUUGGGCAGAGAUUUGGAUCGUUCGCAGAAGCAAAGGAAUACUACCAGGCAUACGCAAAGUUCCAUGGAUUUGCGGUCAACACCGAGUACCAUAGGAAAAUUAAGAAAACUAAUGAGUACAGCAGAGGUGAGAUGAGGUGCCACAAGGCACGGAGGAACAAGAAGGGGAAAGGUGUUGCGCCUGUCGUUCCGGAACGAAAGAGAGGCAUCAUUCUCAAGACGGGGUGCCCUGUCCGGUGUAAGCUAAACGUAGAUGGAGCAACAUGGGUGGUCAAUGAGUAUUAUGACGAGCACAACCACAAACUUAUAAAGAAGUUCGACCUGGUGAAAUUUCGGACCGCCCACAGAGGGUUCACCCCCGUCGAAAGGAAAUUCGUAAAGCUGCUACAUGAUUGUAACGUCGGUCCAUCAAGAAUGGUACAGAUACUAUCUCUCAUCCACAGCAAAAAGGGGACUCUGAGUAGCAUGCCGUACAUACCAGCUGACGUCACAAACCUACAGGCCAAGUACCAUAGAGAGAGCAAGUUGGCAGACAUAGAGGCCACAAUAGCCUACUUCGAUGCGAAAGCAAAGGAAGAUCCAGAUUUCUUCUACAGGAUAAGGUUGGACGAUGAGGACCGUGUCAGGAACAUGUAUUGGGUGGAUGGUGCUGCAAGGAGAGCCUACAAACAUUUCCGAGAUUGCAUUUCAUUCGACGCGACGUACCUCACCAAUAUGUACAAGAUGCCAUGCGCUCCGUUCAUAGGAAUAAAUAACCACAAUCAGUCGUUGCAGUUCGGAUGCGGCCUCGUCCGGAACGAAGACACAGAUGGGUACGUUUGGCUGUUCAAGACCUUCUUGGAGUGCAUGGAUGGACUUGCUCCGAUGAACAUAAUAACGGACCAAGAUUUCAGCAUGCGUGCAGGCAUAGAGGAGGUCUUUCCGUUGGCAGUGCACAUGCACUGCAGGUGGCACAUUAUAAAGAAGGCUAAGGAGACGCUAGGACCGUUCUUUGCCGACCGUCCAGAGCUGCACAAGGCAUUCGAGUUGUGCAUGGACCACAGCUUGACGGUGGAGGAGUUUGAAAGGAGCUAGAUGGCCAUGACUGAAACACAUCAAGUCCAGGACAACGAGACUCUUGUUAGCCUGUGGGAGAAGCGAAUGUACUGGGUGCCGGCCUACUUCAUGCAGUGCUUCUUCCCCUUUCUGCAGACUACACAGCGCAGCGAGGGGUUCAAUGCUGUUUUAAAGCGGUACGUCAGCCCUGGCAACUCAUUGCUACAGUUUGCCAAGCAGUACACAGCUUUGCAACAAAAAAUUCUGGGAUCUGAGCUACAGCAAGAAGCGACCACAGCCCUAAAGCAGCCAAAAUUGCUAACGUAUUUACCGAUGGAGAGGCAAAUGAGCAAGAUAUACACCAACAAGAUCUUUAACAAGUAAGUCAGUUGCAUUACAGUCUUAUUUGCAUAAAAAGCACCAAGUCAGUAGGGGCCUUAUAGAGUGCAAUGCAGUUGCCAUGACAUGCAGCUGCCAUGUUUAAUGAAAUACUGUUUGCCAUGCUUACUCAGAUGCAGUUGCCAUGUUAAAAUGAAAAUUUUGUUUUGGCAUACUUGCUCGGGUGCAUUUCCCUUGUUGAAUGAAGUGCAGUUGCCAUGUUUUAUGCGCUGUGCUUCCAUUGGAGCAUGUUGGCAUGCAAAUGCCAAUGUCAAAAAAUGCUAAAAAAAUGUUAUAUUGGCGACACAUAUGCUGAAAUGCAGUUGCUAUGUUUAAUGAAAUGCAUCUGCCCUUUUUUUUGAAAUGCAAUUGACAUGUUUACUCAGCUGUAGAUGCCAUGUUUAAUAAAAAUGCAGUUGCCAUGUUUUAUGCAAUGUGCUUCCAUUGGGGAAUGUUGGUGUGGAAAUGACGAUAUCCAGUUGAAAAUGUACUGCAAUUGUCAUGUCUGUUGUACUGCAAUUGCCAUGUAUGUUGUAAUGCAUUUGCCAUGUGUAGUGUACUGCAUUUGCCAUGUUCAACGUAAUAUAUUUGCCAUGUUCAAUGAACUAUGUUUUCCAUGUUCAAACAAAAUGUAUUUCUAUUUCCAUGACAACAUAAGGGUGUACAAGAAAAAGAUCGCACGAAAGUUUAACAGAAAACACACAAAACUUGCAGAUUCCAGGAAGAAAUAAAGCGUGCCAGCAUGUUCACGGCUUUCCGGGUGGAUGAACAUACGUUCAAGGUGUGUUCUAUUUUGGGCAUGUCAGAUUCAGAACCUGAAGACGCGGACAAAGGAAGGAACUACUUCGUCAGAGCCUCGAUAGGCGAAGGCGAGUACUACUGCCAAUGCUGCAAAUUCGAACGGGACGGCAUUGUGUGCUGUCACAUACUAAAAGUCAUGGACAUGAACGCUGUGACACGCAUGCCCCGCCAUUUCAUAAGGAGGCGAUGGACUUGGGACGCUGACGACGCGUUGGCGCCGCAGACAACACACGCAGUUCUAGCUGUGCAUGACGAGAGACCUGAGUCAACCAUGGAAGCCGUGAGGCACGUUGUGCUGACAAAGAACUAUGCUGAGCUAAUUGAUGAAGCGUGCAAGAGUGAUGACACAGCGAGAGUCGCAGAAAAACACAGGAAGGCACUGAAAAGAGAGCUUGAUGAGAUCAAAAAAAGGAAAGCCGAGGAAGCCUUACACCGGUUCCCCCGCACAUCAAGUGUGCCUUCAUCCACGGGGCCAUCGUCUGAAAACUCGGAGAUAGGAUCUGGAACAGCAAGCACACAAACCCAGGUCAGGAACCCACCCCGUUCCAUCACAAAGGGUCGUCCGAGAGAGAUAAGGUACAAGUCGGGACUGGAGAUUCAAGCAAAACACAAGAAAACGAAGAAAGGGGCGGGCAAUCCAUGAGCAAAAAUUGGGGCGCUGUGACAUGGUUCAUGUGGACAUUUUGUUUUGUACCCCUAUACGAUGGGAUUUUUUUUAAUUGGGAGAAUGACUCUUGAGGGGGGACAGAAGUAGAAGGAAAAUUCAUUGAAUGGAUAAAUGCAUUUGCCAUGUUAUGGGUACUUAAUCUGCCAUGUUAUGUGUAGUUAAUCUGCCAUGCUAUUUUAUACCAAAUAUGCCAUGCUAUUUUAUACUAGAUAAGCCAUGCUAUUUUAUACUAAAUAUUCCAUGCUACUUUAUACUAAAUAUGCCAUGUUAGUUGUACUGGAUCUGCCAUGUUAGUUGUACUGGAUUUGCCAUGUAAGUUGUACUGGAUCUGCCAUGUUAUUUAUGAUGUAUCUGCCAUGUUAGCUGUACUGAAAAUUUCCGGAUGCUUUUUGUAAUGACUCUGCAUGGCAUAUAUCCCCAUGACAAAUACGAUGCGGUUUAGAAGCACGUAGUGUGUUGUAUGCAAUGUAUGGGAAAACAAGUUGGAAAAAAAGCGUAAACGUGCAUAAACCGCAGCAAACGUUAUGGCUACAUGAUAAACCUACCCAAUGCUAGCCGGUGCAAUUAGCGAUGAAAAAGAACAAGCAAAACAGCCAAAAAUGAAAAAGUGACGAUGACUUUCACUAACCAUGUCUGUUGAACUACAUUUGCCAUCUUGUUUUUGAAAACAUCGCAGACGCAUUCGAAACAGCAAAAAACAAUGCUAGAAACGACGAAACCACUGUUGUAAUGAUAAACAUAAAAACAUAUCUGAUGUAACGCCUAAAAUAGGUUCACGUCCACACAUGUAUUACAGAAAACACUAAAAAUGUCGCUAACACGCCACCAUUACAUAGUAGGCUACACGAGGUUGCAGUCAUAACGUAGCACACAAAACAUAGUUUUCGACAAAGAACAGAGAGAUAGUACCUUACAUUCCUCAACAACAGAAUGUAAGGUGUGUGUCUGGUGUGUAACGCCACGUGAUCACUUGUACUUCUUGAUGACUUGCUUGACAGCUUCCUCCACGAACUCGCGUGCUCCGGACCGCUUGUUGAAAUCUUCAUUCGUCAGCCAGUUCCAUGUGCAGAUUUUUCGGAGCUCAACGACCGUUGCAUCUGUGAUAGCGGGGACAAUUCUGCCUUCCCACUUUGCAAAGUAUUCCAGCGCGUGAAAGCCACAGUCCGUCCUGCACGAGGAAAAAGAGUUUAGGUGAACACGCAAAAUGGACAGCUGCAGCAAAGAUGGACUUCAGUUCAGAUGUGUCAACAAAAAGAGGGGGUGGAUUGAUGUAAAAAUGGCACAUGAAGGAGCGGGUUAAAAGAAAUUAUGUGUUCCCUUGCUUCACAGUCGCCACAUACUCAGUCGGGAAAUGCCUGAUCUGGACCUUUGAAUGUUCGUAGUGACGGUUCCAAGUCUCUUUGAGGUUCUUGAUGAAGAGUUCAGCAUGCGUAGUAAGGUCUGCAUCAGCUUCCGAACGGAUUGAAUCAAGCACCUCGAUACGUUGGUUCUUCAGCUCAAGACAGACCGCAUAGUGGUGACCACACUUGUCGUGUCGGUCGUGUGGUGCAAGCUCCUGGAACAUGGGGAACAUGACCUGCAUUUAAAAAAGUGAAGAAAUGAGAUACAAAGUUCACAUGAAAGAACAACAGAGGGACAAAAAAUUAGAAUCACGUAGAAAUGUUUGAUUAUGGGUGGGAAUAGUUGAAAGAAAGUUGCCGUCCAUUGUAUGAACAAAAUGAGCCAUGUAUUUUACUAUCAAGUUGCCACAUAGUUUGCAUGGGGAUACAAAAAAUCAAGAAGUCAGUGUGCACGGCAACUGUUGCCACAUGAAAACUUCUGCCACACAAACACAAGUACAGGUUCUGGCAAAAAACCACGCCAUGUGAAAAAACGGUGCAGACAGGAAAGGAGUACUCACAUAUUUCUUCAGUGUGAGCUUGAAGUCACCGUGUUGUGCAAAAUUGUUCCUCAGGAUUUUGUGGUGGAAGUCACCAUCCCAUAUUUUGCAGGUCACACUGUAAUGCAUGAUUAUCUUGUCGGCGCAUACAUCGGUGUGAUUGUUGAUGUAGUCGAUCCCGCAUGCAACUACAUUCGUCGACAUUUUUCCGUUUGGCCUCAUGGACUCGGCAAGAUCACCCAGGUCGACGUACGUCGCUCCGCACUGAAUGACUUUCGUUCUGUCCAAACAUGAGCUGUAUGAAAAUGAUAUAGCAUGGAAGAAUCAUGCCUACUAAGUAAAAAAAAUAUAUGAAAGAACUAAAACGUAAGCGGAUCAUUUAUAAAAAGUACGAAGUAGAUAAAUGGUAAAAAAGAGCAAGCAACAUGAGAGAUUAUGGGGUAUGGUAAUUUACGCUUUCAGCUCCUUCAUGUGCUUGCUGUUGGUCCUUGCAUUUCCAAAAUGCUUGACGAUAUCGUACAGCUGGGUCUGUUCCUUAGUGGCCCUGAAUUCGGGCUCGUAGUCUUCCGCGGGGGGUGGGUGAACUACCCUCUGCUGCCUCACAGGACCAGGGGUGACACUCCUAAUGGUAUCCUCAGAUACCGUAUCUGCAGGCGCAUUGGAACUUGAUUGCCCUUGCCCUCGUGAGGAACUCCUCUGCAAUGUUGUCUCCUCGAUCAUGCGGUAAACUUCAUCAAGUGACGGUGAAAUCUCCUCAGGGGUGGCUGCAAUGAAUAUAAAAAAAGUGGGUUAGGAUACAUAUAAAAUCCAAAAACAGAUGGAUUGUGAGGAGGUAAAGGUCCAUGAUGUGAUAUGUAGGUAGAAAAAGUGGGGCAGUUGCCAUGGGUGGUCCAACUACAGUCGCUAUGACAUAGCAAAUACAAUUGCCAUGUAGUUGCACUGUAGUUGCCACCUAGUUGUACUGUAGGUACCAUGCCACAGCAACUGCAGUUGCCAUGUUGUGUCGGCUCCACUUGCCAUGUGAAUGCCGUAUGAAAAAAUGCAGCAUGGUAGAAAAAAUGCAGGUGGCAUGAUGUGGCAAAUCCAGUUGCCAUGUGUACUGAACUGUAUUUGCCAUGUGACAGUAACUACAGUUGCCAUGUUGAAAUAACUUCAGUUGCCACGUGCUUGCCCAAAUGUCAAACGCAGCAUGGCAGCAAGAAAAAAACGUAGGUGACAUGGUGCAUCAAAUCCAGUUGCCAUGUCGUCACAUGGCAGUUGCCGUCACAAGUGAGGACCCCCAAAGAAUGUGAUUGGGACAAAAGUCAAACUACAAACAUGUAUACAAGAAAAUCGUAAGUGCGUGAUGAGUGUACCUUGCACAAUUGGCUCUGCGAACUUGACAGCCUUCCUGCCCUCGACCAUUGGCUGCGCCAUCAUUGCGGGCAUGCCUCCUGGGAAAGCAAAGGCAACUGGUAGAGGAUCGUGCACCACCGGUUGAUCUUGACUGACGCCGAGGCUGAAGCUCGGUGGGGUAAAGGCCAUUGGGUGCCUCUCAUUCCUACUGGCCGGACCACGAACGACUUUCGGGGCAGAAUCCAAGGGUGAAAGAUCGACAAGCAUAUCUGAAUCGGCCGCUACAAAAUGAUCGGCCUUAUUUGCAGGGCGGGGCGUGUUGUCAGCGGUCUCAGCCGCAGCUUUCAUGACAAUCUUCUUGUUUGGACUGUAGGGGACACCGACAUUGACUGGGAGCCUGGAAGUGCGCAGAUUUAUGCUGGGGAUUUCCGCUGCGGGUGAAGGCGCAGUCUGCUCCGGGCGUUCCUCUGCGUCACUCGUGCCCGGCUUGACACCUGCAUCAGUUGUGCUCCGGUCUUGCGGUUUCUCCAUCACAUUGAUUUUUGUAGAUGGCGGGAACAGUGUGGACGCAGGAACAUAACCAGAUUCGUCUCUCCUGCUCCUAGCUACAGCCGGAGCGUUGGGUGUGUCUAUUGAUUGCUUGCGGGGGCUACGACGCCUAGGUGGAAGACCAGCACGCGGAACGAUCGCCUUAGCAGUAUCUCCACCGACAGGAGCUGGAGCUGUUGUGCCAGGAUUCUCAUCUGCAGAUGGCAUAUCCUUGUGAAGUGCCGCCUCAGCCGCUUCUGUCAUGGACACAGGUGAGACACCAGGCACGCGCUUGGAAUCAGUGUCAGAUGAGCAGGAAUCUUCCUUGCCUAGGUUGGUCUCGGGAGCAUCCACUUCGACGCUUGCUGAUGGGGUGGCAUGGCUCACAGCAGUAUCCUUCAUUGCCAGAAGAGUUGGCAAUAUUUCAGUUGUCCUGGCGGAUACCGACUCGUCACUCCCCGAUGUACGGAUGCCUGUUGUUCUAGCCUGCACAUCUGCAGCUGGCAGAGAUGGUCGGCCACUUGCAUCAGAGUUAGUGGGAGCAGUUGACGGUGCAGCAGCAGUAUUGUCGCCUGGCGCCUCAUGUACAUCUGAGUUGCCACCUGUUGACAACUUUGAAUGCAGGCGUUCGAGUGGGUCUCUACUGAUAUGCUUGGCCCCGCGCGUAGUAGUCUUCUUCACCCUGCAAAGGAAAAAAGCACGUGAAAAAUGGUAUGAAAAAAAUGGACAAAAAAAUAUGUUUGCAAUGAUAGAAGCAUUAAAAAACUAAAAAACAAGUGGAAAAAGCUGGUAGUUGCCAUGUAAGGGGGUCAUGAGUUGCCAUGUGCCAUAGUUAGCAGUUGCCAUACAGCAGCAGUUAUCAAAGUUAGGCAAAUUGAAAGGAAUGAUAGAAAAUGUCUGAUCUGUGAGGAAUGCAGUUUCAAAAUUAGGUGGGGGAUGAACUCUCAGAAGAAAAUGGUAAAAAAAAGAUGACAGUUGCCAUUAGGUACAGAAAUAGUUGCCAUUUGGCCUAGAUGCCAGUUGCCAUGUAAAGAUAAUAGGAGUUGCCAUACAUUUAAAAAAUGAAGGAAGAAAUCAUUUGGAAAAACAGCAGUUGCCUCGUGGGGGAUGAUAACAGAAGAACAUGUGACAAAGCAGACCAGUUGCAUUGAAAAAUCAAGAAAAAAACCGCUAUCUCAAAUGAAAAGCACAUGGAGAAACCUACUUCUUGACUGCCUUCCUCAGGUCAGGCAACACGACAGGAUCCCCGGUGUUGGUCGUCGUCAUACGAGCAGAAGACCUGGUGGAAGGGAUGUCACCGGCAAUGGGGGCACCUUUGUUCAAGCGAGCAGAAACACGGGUUGGCGUUGGCGCCUGUUUCUUCAUAGCUGCUCGUCCACCAGCGAUCGGCUCACUGCACGCAACAGAUGGAAGGAAAAAAGAAGGUGGCAAUUGUCAGACAACAAACUAAUUGCCGCGCUUGACAAAAAACAAGUGCAAAAGAAAUGGAUGAGAUUGUUCCAAAGAAAAGAUACACAGCAGAAAACUAAAAUUGAGAGUCGAACCUCUUCCUGGCAGCUACGGGGUCGAUCCUAGACCUCUUGCCAGCAGAACCCUGCCCAACAUCCUCUGGAGCCCUCCCCCUCCUUGAUGGCAAAACCCCCUCGCCUCUCGCAGCCGUAUGUUCUUUCACUUUCUCCGGUGGGUGGGCACCUGUUGCAUCCUUGCCCUUGUUGCCGCAUGUGCGAACUUCAGCGUGUUCAUCGUCAUCGGUGUCAUCGUCGUCGUCCUUGCUGAGGCCAGCGUCUCCAUCCACAUCAUCCUAUGUGUCACCGGGCUCUUGGGAGCUGUUGUAGUCAUACCGGCCACGGCAACCGGUUGGCCGAUGUGUAUGUUUUGGGACAAAUGAAGUGAACUGCCUCGCAACCGCGUCGCUGUCAGAGGCACUGAGGGACGUCCACCCCUCAACCAACUUCCUGAGCAGGCCGAUCAUUCCGGAUGCGAACUGCCCAAUUAGAUGCUCCACUGGUGCCCUCGCCUGUGCACGAAAACAAGAAGCAUCAACAAAACAACACCCGUACUGCAUUCGCUUCCGCGACAUCAACAUGUAAUCCAUGGCAAACCGUAGAUGUGGACAUUUUGAUUACCUCAGAAGGGCAAGACGGAGCUGAGUGCACGUCCAUCCACUUUUCAAAUUUUUGAGGCCCCCCAAACACGCUGUAGUCUAUAGCAUGCUUGGCCAUCAGCUAUGAAAAAACAAAAAAAGAAAUUGUAAGCAUGCCUUAUAAACCACGGACGGUUGCGUCAUGUCAAAUUUGUAAGCAUGCCGUGUGAAAAAGACAUAAACAAAAACUAACCUGUAGUUUUCCAUAUGUGCCAUCAGUUGCCCUGUCUGCGGCAAGCACAGCCUUGACAGCGCUGAUGGUCCACGCAGAAACAGCAAACUUGUGAGUAGGCGGCGGGCCUCCUAUCCCGGUGAAAUCCACGGUGGACAGAUCAAGAGCGUCGACAUACAUGAGCUGAUUUAAAACAAUUUUGCAAAGAAAAGAAAAUAUCAGUUGCCAUCGUGGUUAAUUUGUAGUUCAGAAAAAAAAGAGCAGGAUAAUGUAUGAUCCAACGAUAAUAUGUAUGUGUUAGUUGCCAUCAAAGUGUGAUGGCAGUUGUCAUCCUACUGUGAUAGCAGUUGCCAUGCUAAUAUGAAGGUAGUUGCCACAUUGUCAGUAUGACAGUUGCCACGUUGUCAUUAUGGCAGUUGCCACAUUGUCACUAUGGCAGUUGCCAUCUUGUUAUGACCAGAUUGUCAUGCAUGAAAUAAAAGUACGUUAUAAACAAAGAGUUCACACAGAGAUCUGGUGAAAAUAAAUACCAUUAAGUGCAUACGACAACCCUUCUGGUACACCUUGUUUUUGAAAGCAUCGUGGAGAAAGUCGGCAAUAAACUUACACCAGUUCAUACUCUUCACGUUUUUCAGAUUCGCCUGCACCACACAAAAUUUCAGGGCAAAAAAGUUUGCCGCGUCAAAAAAUCAAAACGGAAGAAACGCAACGAAAACACUGGCAGUAGCAAGCAUGGAUCAUUCACCAGGAUGGGGAAACAUUUGUUGCUUGGGCGAAGAGAAGUGGUCGGCGCGAAAACAGCUGAGAUGAGGUACAUGAGUAGCUUCAUCUUGAAAACUUCUCCGUGCGUCGUCAUGUCCUGCAGAGAAUCUGCCAGUACAGACGUGUUCGGCAUUGCCUCCAACCCAGGAAACAAACGGGCGAACAGCUCUUCCUCGAUCUCAUUAUUAACCUCGUACGGGACUUUGAUAUGUCCCCGAGGCACACCCGAAGUGCAGAACACGGAUUCCUCAUUCAAUGGAAGUCUUCCCCGUCCCGGGAUCACGAAUUCCCUGGAGGCGGGAUCGUAUAUCUCACCAAGCCAGUCGCAUACCGGGUUGACAAGGUUCGUACACCGGACAUCCAUCAGAACCUGCAUACCCAUCUCAGCAGCAGCUCCCUUUUGAUCGUCAGUGAAUUUGUCAAUCAACACGGUCAGACGUUCCUGGGAGGCUCUGUUGCGAAUACGUUUCUUCUUCUGCAAAAAACAAACACAAAAGUGUUGAGCUGUUGCCAUGUUUUUGCAAUGUUAUGAAAAUUUAGUUCAUGAUGGACGACUAUAAAAAAGAUCUAGCUGCCAACAAAUAACAUAAAUCGGGAGGAGGGGGGCGGGUGUGCGGACAGUUACCUCAUCGCCCUCUUUUCUCCGUCCAGUUGCCUGGUUACGUUGAGGUGGAUCCAUGAAAUCGUCAUCAUCACUUUGAUGAUCGCCACGAGCCAUUCUGCUGAUGUAGGAACAGACCAAAUUGUUAAUGGCGAAAAUGUAAAAUGCAAUGGGUAAGCAGUUGCCACCUAACAGAAAAAUAUUAACUAUUUGAAUGCAAAUGUGGUUGCCAUACUAUGCAGCCAGUUUGCCACACUGUCAUAUCUGUAUUGUGGCAACAGACAUUUUGUUCACAUACUGUAUUGCAACAUGAUUAUACAAAAUCCAAAGUGGCAAACACGCCAACUCGAUGUGCACAUUAGUUCCGUCCAGUUCUACCGAUUGUGGCAACUAUCAAAGUUUGGAAACUGUCACAAAUAAUUCAGAAAAAAAAACAAGUCUCACAAAUGAAAAAGAAUGUUUGAGGUUACUAUUAUGUAAAUUCAGUAAAAAAAUCAGUUUGCCUCGUUCAAGAGCGUGUAUGUGGCAACUAUCUCAUUCAUUCAGUAAAAUUUAGUUGCCCCCCUUGUGUGUGAGCUUGAACACAUUUGUGGCAACUAUGACAGUCAGUUUCAGAAAAUAUGUUGCCGCAGAAGAGAACACAUUUGUGGCAACUGCCACAUUUGUUCAUGUAGUUUAGUUGCCACACACCUGUUCACGUUCGGUCAUACUGCCAUAGUUGCCACAUUCAGAAAGCAUAUUUUUUCUGGUUACUUAUCGUACAAGUUCAGCAGAAUUAAAUUUGCCACAUGGGAAGAGCAUGCGUGUGGCAACUGCCACAGGAGUUCAAAUGAAAUUAGUUGCCACCUCGUUUUGGGGUGGCAACUAUGACAGUCAUUUUCGGAAAUCUGUUGCCACAUGGGAGAACACGUUUGUGGCAACUACCACGUUUCUUCAGGUAGUUUAGUUGCCGCACAUUUGUUCACGUUCAAUCAUACUGCCAAUUUCGCCACAGUCUGCAGUUUCAACCCCAAAACUAGACUAGGUCUAGGUUUCAAUGGCAACUGCUUCAACCUCAAAAUCACCCUUACAAUUCUCGCGCGAAAUGGCUGCAACCCCAAAUUUCGAACCAAUCCACACCAAAACAACCCGGCGGACAACUCUCAAAAUCCAAAUGCAAGACUAAUGCGUUGCCUACGAGUAGGCAUAGCCUCACCGACGAUGUCGCCGCAGCGGCGGCGACGAAACUGCCCACUCCCACGAAGCAACGGCAGGCACACAACUAUGGCGCACCGCCGCAGUGGCGGGAACGCCGGCGCACCGCCGAAUCGCCGAAAUUUCUAGGAAUGGAUCUAGAAAUCGAACAGGGAGGAAAGAGGGGAACAAAAUCAGGGAGGGUAUGCGAUAGAUGAAGCGAGCAUUACCUUCGACCCGCACGCGUUCCGGCGACGCCGCUCCGCUCCGACGAGCACCACCAACACCCGCGAACACCGUCGACUGUCCCGCCUCCGCCGUCGCCUUCUCCCCUCGCCUUCUCCUCCAGUGUACUGUAAUGCGAGUGGGUUGUGCCAGUAAAUGCGACGCGGGGGAGAGUGAAUGGAACCGUGAGGGAGAGGGUGUAGGGGUGUGCGACGUGUUUGACGUCAACUGCGGUCGGACCGUGGCGUGCAGGCGCAUGGCAGUUCCACCACACGCCUCUCAGUGGCAACCGCUGACCGCGGGAUGGCAACUACCGUGCGGGCGAACCCACUCGCACACCGCACACUAGAAUCGUCCAACGUGGCGCCGAAAACCAGCCCUUUUGCUCCAAGAAUCGUGCAAAACGAAACCAACGGCGAUGCUUGCGUGUGGACGGAGUGGUGAACGCCCACACGUGUGGGCGUUAACAUUUCCGUAUAUUAAGUGGGCUCCACUAUUGGGGCCCUAAGUCAGGCCCAUCUGAUAGUAGCAUGGAAGUAAUUUGUGUGGCAUGUUCGGCGCGCCUCUAACACUAUUGGGAAAAGUCUUAUAAGUGGGCUCAAAUUAGUGGUGGGUAAAAUCUAUCGCUGGACAACAGCGGCGGGCAAAAAAAGCCAGCCGACAAUCAUAAAUUUGUACAAAUUUAGUCAUGGCAUAAAAGAAGCAGUGGAGGGCGACAAACUUUAGCCCGCCACUGGUUUGUCAUCCACCAAUGGCGGGCGAAAAGUUUGCCCACCACAGCAAUAUUUUUGUUAGCCUGCGCCAAAUUUUCCAAAUUUAGCAGUGGUGGGCGCCCAACCAUAGAUAUAGUAAGUAAGAAAUAUGGUUGAAACAAAUCAUAUUUACUAAACACGGAAUAGUUGAAAUGAUGUAGAAAAACCGAGUUGUCUUUGAAAGGCGGUGGUUUCCAUGCGAAACUCUAAUACUUCAUUCAAGAGCGUUCAGUUUGUACACAAAGUGCAUUAAGUUUUUCCCGUAAUGCUCUCAAAUUUUAUGACACCUUACAAGGGUCCUAUGAAGACACCAUGCCAACACCCUACAAGGGUCAUACGAAGACACCUUUGUAGAACUCUUGUGCACGUUAUGUUGAAUGGAAAUGCGUACUGCCCUUUUUAGGGGCCGGAAAAUCAAUUAAUGCUUCAAAAAAAAAACCAACUCAAAAGGUUCUAAAUUUUGAGAAUGGAACUCCCAAUGGUGUGUUUUAAACAUAGUAAAACUUUGAAGUUGAAAUGAUGUGGAAAAUUGAGAUGUGUGUGAAAGACGACGAUUUCCGUUCGAAACCAUAAUACUUCACGGGAGAGUGUUUAGUUUGUACAUGAAAGACAUCAAUUUUUUGUCAUAACACUCUUAAAUUUUUACCACACCCUUCAGGUGUCCUAUGAAGACACUCUAUGCCAAGUUUCAUCCAUUUUCGAGCUCGUUUGCACAUUAUGUCGAACGAAAAUGUGUUUAGUCCUUUUUAGUGGCGAGAAAAUCAAUUAAUGCUUCAAAAAUAGCAAACCAACUCAUAAAAGUUCUAAAAUUUGAGCACAGGACUUCCAAUGAUGUGCAUUAAACAUAGUAAAAGAAUUAAGUCAAAAUGAUGUAGAAAAAUUGAGUUGUAUGUGGAAGGCGGUGGUAUUCAUUUGAAACUCUGAUACUUCGUAGGAGAGUGUUGAGUUCGCCACGAAGUGCAUCAAGCUUUUGCCCUAUCACUCUCAAAGUUUAUCACACACCCUACAUGGGUCCUAUAAAACACUGUGCCAAGUUUCAUCCAUUUGCGAGCUCGUUUGUAUGUUAUGUUGAACGGAAAUGCACUCACCCUUUUUAGUGCCUGAAAAAGAGUUAAUGCUUCAAAAAUAGCAAACCAACUCAAAAGGUUUUAAAUUUAAGCAUGAGACUUCCAAUGGUGUGUAUUAAACAUAGUGAAGGUUUGAAAAAGUGGCCAAAUUUAAGCAUGUUAUUUUGAACUGAACAAUUAAAUUACUCACAUAUGCAAAAUAAAUAACAGUGUCGGGCGAUGCGCAGGGCCCGCCACAACUAAGACUUAGCAGUGGCGGGCUUAACCCACUGCCUACCACAUGGAAUUUCACCGAAAACAAAUCGACCGUGCCCCUUCGCCGCUCGACACUAUCUCCAUUUCCCACAAAUCCAACCCCCUCGAAAAUCGAUAUUUCCGCAACCGCGGACCGCGCCGCCUCCUCCGCCGCAUUGCCGCCGUGCCCAUCCCCGCCGCUUCCUUCACUGAGCUGCCGUGGAAGUGCGCUUCUAGCGCCGUCAUUCCUGCCCGCGUCGCCGCCUCCACCGCGCCGUUGUCGUGCCCGUGAGCCCCUUCUCUCUAGUGAGAAGAGCACCCUCUCCCUCUCCCUAUUCACUUCAGUAAUCAGUAGCAAGCUAUCAGCUAGGGUUCCACACCACCAUACCAACUAGAUCGGGAUCGCGCCUUGGCGCGAGAGGGCUGGUGUCAACGUUUUGGUCAAGCAGAUAAUGCUAAGUCAGUAGUAAUCCAGGCUAAGCAUAUGGGGAAAGCUUAUCAUGUUUAGUAAUACAAUAAUUUCAUUUACAUGCCCAAAACAGAAGUAUUUUAGCCUGUUCAAGAGCAACAUGACAUAAAGUUCAUUGUUAAAGAGUAGCAAAAGCAGCAAGUGGCAGUGACAUUACAGGUGCAUAGCAAGUCACAUGUCAUAGGACACAUAGUUUUACAUGACAAACACAAAUAGUUAAUCCAUUGAAACAUGACUAACACAAAAGUUAAUCCAUCGAAAUACAUACUAUUGGGCAAAAGAAAGCAUCAAUUACAUCUUAGAUAAGAUAGUAACUUAGAUAGCCAGCUCGAUGUACCAUUAUCUUUGACUCAGUCAGACCCCUACUUCUAUAGAUUUGAAAGUUGUGGAUCAGAAAUAGAAUUGGUGAUGGCUACUACACGUGGGACAUAGAUAUAUUGCAAAAUGAUUUAGUCGACUGAUGUAUCCUUUCUUCUGCCUGGGCAUGAUGACAGUUUCCAAAUAAAUCUUUAGGUGCAGUGUAUGCAAAUUCUCUCCUAGUGUGUUCGCUGUCAAAUUGUUUAGACAACAAAUAAAUGUGGUAUCCUUCUUGAGUAAUCACCACCCAAAAUCCAUACACAAAUUUUAGAAUAUACCCUGUCUCUCUGGAGGAGUGUGCUCGUCUGCCGCAGUUUGCAUUUCCUGGAAACAUAACCGUCAGGGGGCGAUAUACAUGGGAUUUAUUAAUGGGCUCAUGAAGAACGGAGAGCACCUGUGGAACAGAGCAAGCAUUUAUAUUGUUUUUUAGUCUUUGGGUUUAGUGUCUUUAUUAUAAUCCUUUCAAUUUGGCUGGUUAGAAUGGAUAACUUCUUUUAAUCACUUGCAUGGCUUUCAAUAAUCAUUGCCCAUGAGGAAGCUGUCAGUAGCUUUGUCUGACAGGCCCUUAGCUCAGAUAGGUUUGCAUCAUCUACAUAUAUCAUCCACGUGUUCUUUAAAUCAGUCAAAGUGGCCGAGCUAGCCGAUUCUAUAGGAUCUUCUUAUGAGCUAGCAUAAUAUCCAUGGAUUUUUUCUGUUUCUGACAAGGGUUGCUCCUAUCAACAGAAAAAUGCAGAGAGAUCCAUUAUUACAUCUCAGUAAGGUGGUCCCAUUUUUGGAUUUUCCUUACUUCGAUGCAUUACUUUGAGCUCCUAUCAAUCAUGCACCGAAAAUCUCACAAUGAACGAAAUAAAACAAUCCAAGGAAGUGCCACACAUCGACAAUUUGUCGAGUGACUUGGAUCCAGCAGUGGUGGAGAGAGAGAGAGAGAGAGAGAGAGCACACCUGGCAAAGGCCUUAAUCUUCCACAUCUGGUGCCGCGACCUGGUCCAAGCCCGCAUGGUCCUGCUUCCACCACUGCUCAUGCUCCUCCUACUGAGUCAAUCACAAUUCUUAUCACCUGAAAUAAAGACCAUGAACCACAACGCGAAUCAAGACUUGAAAGGUAAACAAACAUUCACAUUUACUUAGAUAAUAGAAAAGGGUGAACAGACACCUUAGGAUACUUAGAAAUAGAUUUCUUCGUGCACUGAUUGAUAGAGUCGUCAGUUGCUUUCAAAUAACAAAAAACUACAUCAAAAAAAGAUGAAUUUAGUUAAAGGAUGCAUGUCCUGCAUACAAUAAAAUGCAUUGCUGCAAAAUAAUGUCAUGAAAGCUUUAAUUCAUGCACAUGUAGCCAUUUGAGCUAUUUCUUUUCAAUUCAAUAAAUGCACUAACUUUGAUGAUAAACAAAGGGAUUAGCUUUGUCGAUCAAUANNNNNNNNNNNNNNNNNNNNNNNNNNNNNNNNNNNNNNNNNNNNNNNNNNNNNNNNNNNNNNNNNNNNNNNNNNNNNNNNNNNNNNNNNNNNNNNNNNNNNNNNNNNNNNNNNNNNNNNNNNNNNNNNNNNNNNNNNNNNNNNNNNNNNNNNNNNNNNNNNNNNNNNNNNNNNNNNNNNNNNNNNNNNNNNNNNNNNNNNNNNNNNNNNNNNNNNNNNNNNNNNNNNNNNNNNNNNNNNNNNNNNNNNNNNNNNNNNNNNNNNNNNNNNNNNNNNNNNNNNNNNNNNNNNNNNNNNNNNNNNNNNNNNNNNNNNNNNNNNNNNNNNNNNNNNNNNNNNNNNNNNNNGCAAGCUCUAUAUGCAGUAUGUUACUAUUAAACAUAAGAUAAGUGAUGCCAAUGUAAGAUAAAAUCACGUGUAGCAGCCUUGACAAAUUAACCAAUUGGAGCUAGAUAUAUGCACUAAAAAGGCCAUAUUACCUACACCACAAUCAAAAGUAUUAUAUACUUUUGUAGAUCUGCAUACAACUUAGUGUCUUAUCAACACUAUCAUACAUAAAAUCAACCAAUGGAAUAAGGCUGGGAGCUAGCAGCAGGAGCAGGAUUCAGCUGGUGAAUGGAACAAGCAGGGGGGUCCAUCCAUUAACAGGCAGCUGGUGAACAGGCAGGAUUGUAGCCCACCUUCUUCAAGUAGUAGCUAACUUCAUUGACAAUUUCAAAGUAGCGAGCCCUGGAGUACUUUGGGGUAGUAGCAUCUAUCUGCACCAAACAAACACAAUAUUCAUUAGAGCAUACACACCUCAAACCAUUCAAAACAAUUGCAUAUUGGAUAUUAAACAAAUAGAAGUACUUAGAGCAGAGUAUAGGCAUGCAAAUUCAGACAAAUACAGAGAAAAAUGGUCAGAUCAAAGCCAACUAUAGAGAGCAAUAGACAGAUCUAUCAAGGAGACAAUAUCAUUAACCUCCACAUUUAAAAAAAUGUAAGAAGCGAUACUGGCAGCACCAUAUGUCAUUUCAAAUUCAAAUAGUAUAAAUGCAGGAACCAAAUAUAUUUGCAACAAGAUAUUUCAAGUAACAUAGUUUAAUUUGUUUGGGGGCAGUAGUGCAAAUUAGAGAACUCUAUUCGCAAAAAAGAUAGAGAACUCUAUCUACAAGCAGAAGCACAUCAUUCAAUAAGUAUAAACACCAACACUGAGUUAAAUGGAUCAAUUAACAAGCAAGCAACAAUAACUACCAUUGAAAUAUUACCUUGUUGCAGCAGCAGAUCAUCUGCCUGACGCCAAGAGUGAAAGCAAGGAGAGCAUGCUCACGGGUCUGGACAUCAUUGGAGAUACCAGCCUCAAAACCACCAGUGGUGGAUUCAAUGAUAAGCACCGCAAAAUCAGCCCGGGAGGUCCCAGUGAUCAUGUUCUUGAUGAAAUCACGGUGUCCAGGAGCAUCAAUGACAGUGCAGGAGCAAUGUGCAUCUGUCUUGCAUGAAGCUCGCUCCUUGAAACAACAACCAAGUCAAGAGUGUCUGUUCUUAUAGCCGAGGCCAUCAGUAGUAGAACCUGGCACGCCGAUUAUCAAUAACUUACGCUGAUGCGAUAAGGACAGGUACAUACAUCAUGUAUAUGCUUAUGUGUCUAAGCAAACAGCAACACGUGCCUUGAUGUAAUAACAGGAUAUUCAGUACCACCCUGAAGUAUGGACUUACAGUAGGGCAUGUUCUUUUCCCUUCAGCUCCAGCUCUGAAGAAGUGUCCAGCUGCUGAUGUCAAUUCAGGUACCUGCAGUCAUGAUCCAUGUCGGAGAUACAAGGUUAACAAAGCCACAAAGCACACAAUGCGCACGGUAUAAUUCAGGAUAGGGGUGCAGUUUAGAGCAUGAACCUCAGAUACCACCGUCAAACGCAGUCUGUUCGAGAUUUCCGACACUUCAUCCUUAACCAGUGCAAAGGGGUCUAGCAUCUCCUCUUAUGCAGAAAAAGAAGAGGUUUCUGUUAGGAGAACAGAGCUUUGUGCAAAUACACAUGAAGUGCCUUCACAAUAAUGCUCAUAGGAUAAAAAUCCUUCAACUUUCAAGCCAAGAGUUCAUCUCUACCUUAUUUGUUGACCCUACUCCUCCAUAAGUCUGAUGCCUAGUGCUGUCAAAACAACACAAAAAAUCACUGAAGGAUUCUAAUACCAUAUAUUCUUCUAUUGAUUCGAUCGAUGGGGUGCACUUGACUGUAGGUAAAUUAGAUUAGAUGAUAUGCCUAGCAAAUAACUUAAAGGUUUGAAGAAAAAUUGAAACCAGAGAGGCACUAAGCAUAAUUGUUGGUGGCAACAAAGGCUAGCAGCAGCUGCUGUUCUACACGCAUCAUGAUCACAGAGGGAACCAAGCCUACUAAAUCGAAACACAUCAGGGAUUAAGAGAGAUAGAGAAGGAGAAGAAGAAGAAUAGGGGGCGGGGGAGGAGACCUUGAUAUGGUGCAUCCAUGGCUGUGGCGGUGUGGUCCGAGGUCGAUGGUCGCGUCCAGCUCGACGGCGGCGCGGAUCCAGAAGCCCCUGCCGUGGUCGUGGUCGUGGCAAAACAGGUCGUCGCCUAGGGAGAGGCCGUAGCAGGAGGAGGGAGAGGGCGCGGUGGUUGGCCCUGGCCGUGGCAGAUCUGGCCGCCGCCUAGGGAGAGGUUGGCGGCAGGAGGAGUGAGAGGGCGCGGUGGUUGGGCGCCGGCCAGGAGGUGGAAGGAGGAGGAGGGCGCGGUGGCGUCAAGCGGCUGUAGGGNNNNNNNNNNNNNNNNNNNNNNNNNNNNNNNNNNNNNNNNNNNNNNNNNNNNNNNNNNNNNNNNNNNNNNNNNNNNNNNNNNNNNNNNNNNNNNNNNNNNNNNNNNNNNNNNNNNNNNNNNNNNNNNNNNNNNNNNNNNNNNNNNNNNNNNNNNNNNNNNNNNNNNNNNNNNNNNNNNNNNNNNNNNNNNNNNNNNNNNNNNNNNNNNNNNNNNNNNNNNNNNNNNNNNNNNNNNNNNNNNNNNNNNNNNNNNNNNNNNNNNNNNNNNNNNNNNNNNNNNNNNNNNNNNNNNNNNNNNNNNNNNNNNNNNNNNNNNNNNNNNNNNNNNNNNNNNNNNNNNNNNNNNNNNNNNNNNNNNNNNNNNNNNNNNNNNNNNNNNNNNNNNNNNNNNNNNNNNNNNNNNNNNNNNNNNNNNNNNNNNNNNNNNNNNNNNNGUCUCACCCGGAUCGCUAUUGGGGACUUUUUCAACCGCGUGAAGUGACGAAAAUGCCCUCGCAGGCUCUGGGAAUUACAGGCGGUGGCAUCCCAGUUCUAAUACUAUUCAUUGCAAUAUUGUUUCAAUCUAAUCCGACGGAUGAGGUGAUUUCUGAGGAAGAUCCAACGGCCCAGAUCUCAUCAAGCCACCCGAUCCGACGGCCAGGGAUCCAAACGGCUGAGGAGCCGGGAGGAUGACUGUCAUCCUUAUUUCUCGAUUUGUGGUCCUCUACUAGUUCAAUUUGUAGAUGGUUUGAUUUGACAUGUUUAGAUGGUUUUGUGGAUUAUAAGACUAGCUAGAUGAGCAUGUUCUAGGCAAACACUAAUUGACCCUUUUAAAUAAAUAGCGUAGGUAUGGUACAUUAUACAUUGCUUACUCACAUUCUCCGUUCUAGGAAUACACUAAGUGAGUUAAGUUCAUUAAACAAUAGACACAAGUAAAAGUUGAUUAAAAUGAGUGCUUGUGUUGCUCGCAAUGGAUUCACGCUUUUUCUUUUCAAAUUUGCUGGUAUGAGGAUGAGUGCCAAUGUUUUGGCGAAACAUCGAUUAAGUUAUGUUUCGCCAAACUUUUAGCACUCGCUAUGUCCGACUUUUUGCAAAGGUCAUGUCCAAUUUUUUCGUCGGUAUUUUGCUUAGGGUUAACUGGAGUAAUGUUGGUUUCUAUUUGCAGGGAUCAAAAUGAGUGACAAUGUUUUGGCGAAACAUUGAUUAUUUUUAUUGCGGCAAAUUUCUAGCUCUCGAUAUGUUUAAGUUUUUAGAAACGGUAAUGCCCGACUUUUCCAUCGAUAUUUUGCGUACGGUCAAUUGGAGUACUAUAGGUGUACUUGGGAAAAGACAGAGAACCUUUCUACUAUCCAAACUGAAUAUUAAAGGGCAUUAGGAGCUGUUUUUUUAAGGGCGGGCUACCCUUAGCCUCUGCAUCAAGAGAUGCACGCGACGAUUUAUUUAACUGAGUGAAGUAUCAAAGUACGAGUAACAUCUCAAGUAUGUGAACAAAUUAAGAAUGUAAAUAGCCAUAAUAUGAAAAAAUAGGACACAACCCCUAUCCUAUUAUUGGACCGUCAUCCAAACCGAUUGUAUAUAGCCCAUGCUAUUGUCUCCCAUCAAUUGCACCCAAAGGCCAUAUGCUCCAUCUCCUCAGCAUGGCGUAGCAAUAAUGACCAUGCACGGAUCCAUCCAGAUGCCAGAUAGAUAAUCUGCAAAAAGUUUGUGAUAUUUGUCUUGUUAAAUACAACAUCAUUCCUGCAGUUUCAAGUAGCGCAAAAUAAUGCACAAACUCCCACAUGAAUUCAUGAUGCUGUGUUAAGCUCAAUCCCACCUAACCAAUCUCUGAACAAAUGAAAGAUACUAGUGAGUGAAGAAACAUUAAGGCCUUGUUUGGUGGAGGAGGUUUGGGGAGGUUUGGAGAGGAAUAUCCCCGUAGGGCUCAAAAUCCCCCAGAAAUCCUCGUCAGCCUAUUUGACAUGCAGGGAUUGGGCAGGCCAACCCCCUCUGAUCCCCACGAAUCCCUCCCAAUCCAUGUGGUACGAAAAACCCCCAGAACCAUCCAGGGAACAGAGAAGAGUUGAAUGCUUGCUAUGCUGCUGUUGUUGUAGGAAGUUUAACCAAACAGAGGGAUUUCUAAAGGGAGAGGGAUUAGUGGGGAAUGGGUGGAGGAGAGGGAUUCACCCAAUCCACUGAAAUCCCCCUCUCCACAAACCUCCCCAAUCCCCUUGUAUCAAACGAGGCCUAAAGGACACAUGUAUUGUUCGCAACAGUAACAUGACUAGUGGACAUGUAAGAAACAAAUGUUCAAUAUCGUUUCCUGGUGAUCACAAAAGCAACACCGUUUGCUCACGCUUUGCCAAAUUAGUCUUAGUCAGAAUCACUCCCUUAUGCACAAACCACAUACUUCUUAUUUGAAGGCCACCUUUAUUUUCCAAAUAUCAAUAGAUAUGGGGAUUGGUCCAGUAUUAGUCAAGUCCACAUACAUAGAUUUUAGUGAGAACACACCCGAAAAUGAGAGUUUCCAUCGGAAUAGAUCUAACUCAUUAGAUAGAUUGACCUCCAUCAAUAUAUGCACCAAAUGUUAUCAUCUAUCCCAUCGUCCCCCAAUUAAAGCCCAUCUGACCUAAAUAUUGAAGGGAACAUAACCUAGUAUUGUACUUACAAGUCCGUUUUUAUACAAUAUUUUAAAGAGUUGGAUACUACAAAACUAGAGGCGUCUCCCUCAGUCAAGUGUCCUUCUAGAAUCUAGUUGUGUGUCCAUUCUCCAAUGAUAAAUUUACUUCUGUUAAAGAAAGCGACCUUAGACUAGCCACAGUGGGAGUAACUUCAGCAGUAACACCGAGUCCAACUCAGCAAUUUUGCUUAUGUGGCAAUGAGUUAAUGAGGAGAGAUGUAGUUUGAGUAACUUAGCUAGUUACUGUAACAUCACAUAUCCCAAUGCAAUAUGAGUCUAUAGCCUAAUUGAUGAUGAGCGAACCUCGAGGCGAGGGUCGAUCUGUUGUUGGCCCGAUCUUUCACUGCACAAAACUCCAUCGCAACAAGAACUAGAUGUGGGUUUAUAAAGAUGUUCACAAACCUUGCAAAAACAUCACGCCAACCCCUCAAUUUGAAGGAAUAACAUGGACGAACCGUAUAGGCUCAGCUUGUAAUCCCCUAUGCGUCGCGUCGCAGGAACUCACACGCCAGUAGAGAUUUUGGACAAGAAUUCUCUAAACUCGAUAAUGGCCGACGGCAGGAACACACACGGUGUCUAAUUCAUAAUAACAUAACCUAACUUUUACAUGACAUAUUGACUUGCCUUAUAUUGUGGCCGGACAUGCUAAGCUAACUUGGAAAUCAAGUAAUGGAAAUAAGCUACUCUGGACUCUGUGUAGAUAUUGCCUUUUACAUCUCGGCAAAUACUUGAACUACCAAAACAACUCAAACUAUAGAUAUGAUGGAUUCUGUGCGUGACCACCUCUUUUGCUGUAACUUUGCCUUGUCCGGUGGCCCCCAACCUAACGCACAUAAAUAAACCAAGAUAAUUCCAUGAUCCGGCCAGCCUAUUUACAUCAUUAAUAUUUUUCUUAGGAGGCAAGAACAAGAAUAGGAAAUCAAUAUGCAUCGUUUCGUCUUUAAACCAGCCCAUACUGUUCAUAUCCUGAUUAUCUCUUGUAUUUUCUGAGUCAAACGUGCUUGUGUGCAAGUCGUUUCUUGCAUGCACGCACAUGCCCAUCACCCUGGGUAAUACAUGCACGUUCAACUGCCUCCCCUCAUCUUCCUUACGUGAGUGCACCUCUAUCCAUGCCAUAGUAUGCAUGCAUGUAACUUCUAUAUUGGAAACAUCAUUGACCACUUGAACGUCUACUACUGGAUUAACAGUGUUAGUUAUCACCAUGGUCAUAUCACUAAUAAAUGAAGCUUUGUGUUACUACCCACUAUGGAGGUAGUAGCAUAGUCUAGGGACAUGUAUAUGUUACUCUUCAUUGUGGCUAGUAUUAGUUCUCAUCAACCAAUUUCAAAAGGGAAAUCAUUUGACUGCGCCGUAGCUUGUGGUAAGCUCAACUCCAGCGCGCGACCCCAUCCUGUCCGGGUGCGUUCCUUUGGGGUAGAACGGACGAAUAGCGUGGCCCAAUGUGCGGCCCCAAACGGUCAAAUGUCCGGAUUCCGUCCGUUUUUGACCCAUCCCCGACACAAACUGGCGCCAAGUUUGGGGUGAAAUGGACAUUGCGCGGACAGGCUCGACGCACGCCCUUGUCCCCCCCGUGGCCCGCCUGUGGGGGACACUAGCAGUCCCUUCGCUUCCAACGCGUCCACCCCCUCUCCCCGGCCCACCCCGCCGGCGUCGCCGCCACUAUUCUCCUGUCGCAUCCUCACUGCGCACCCCCCGGACGUCCAUACCAAACCACGUUUCGACAUGGCCGCCACCACGCCCGCGCUUUCGCCGUAGUUUUGGCCGUCGAAUGGAGGAGAUUUGGCCGUCGCCGUCGUAGCCAGUGGCAAAGGGGAUACGACCGCCGGCGACGUACCAUAGUGGCCACGGCAGCUUCCGACGAGUGCUCCAGAGCGGCCAGUAGCCGGCCGCCAGCCACCCCUGCUGCGUCGAGGUGAUCAUCGUGGCCUCUUUUCCACCACGACCGCAAGGUGUUCGACACUUUGCCCACAAAGGUAUGGACAGUGGAGAUGAAUUUUUCUUCCACCACUUCAUUUAUUCAUUGGACGAUUCGUCUUCGGAUGAUGAAGAUCUUGUGGUGGUUGCACUGGUCGUUCAUGAUCACAUUGAACGGCAGCUUCCUCGGUACAGGGGGUCACUUCCUCGUCGUGCUUCCAACCUGAACCGCAACAGGGAGAGAGGCCACGCCCUACUCUAUGCUGAUUACUUCGCGAACACCCCGCUCUUCAAGCCAGAUAAAUUCCGUCGUUGUUUUCGUAUGGCAAGGCAUGUGUUCAAUCGUAUGAGAGAGGGAGUGGUGACCCGUACUUCGAGUGCAAGACGGAUGCCCUUGGCAAGCUUGGAUUCUCCUCUUACUAGAAUUGCACCGCGGCCAUCCGCAUCCUUGCAUAUGGAAUUCCAGACGAUCUGGUGGAUGAGUAUGUGCGAAUCAGUGAGUCCACAUGUCUGGUAUCAUUGUACAACUUCUGCAAGGCCGUGGUGGCAGUGUUUGGCCCUGAGUACCUGAGGCAGCCAACUGCCGCUGAUACAGAGAGAUUGUUGGCGACCAACGCUGCUAGAGGUUUUCCAGGCAUGCUUGGCAGCAUAGAUGGUAUGCACUGGGAGUGGAAGAACUGCCAUUUUCUUGGCAGGGACAGGACAAGGGGCAUGUUAAAGCGUGCACUGUCAUAUUAGAAGUGGUGGCUUCGCAGGAUCUUUGGAUAUGGCAUUCAUUCUUCGGCAUGGCAGGUUCUCAUAAUGAUAUCAACGUGCUGCAACGUUCUCCAGUCUUCGCAAGGCUUGCAGAAGGCCACUCCCCACCUGUCAACUUUGAGAUCAAGGGCCACCAGUACAACAAGGGAUACUACCUAGCUGAUGGUAUAUAUCCCUCAGUGAUCAACUUUUGUGAAGACAAUCUCGAACCCCCAAGAUGAGAAGAGAAACAGGAUUUCCCCAAAUGCAAGAGAGUGCUAGAAAGGAUGUGGAACAUGAUUUUGGUGCGCUUCAAUCCCGAUGGGGUAUCGUUCGAAACCGUGCGCUGACAUGGGGUGAAGGGAAGCUUUGGAAGGUGAUGACUGCUUGUAUGAUCAUGCACAACAUGAUCGUCGAGGACGAGCGUGAUGACAACAUCUUCGACCAAGGAUUUGAUUAUCAAGGUGAAAAUGUUGAGCCCCUGUAACCAAGAACCGGCCACGUUUGAACAGUUUGCCUAUUUCAUCGUGAAAUGCGUGAUUGGCACACUCAUUUGGAUCUUCAAAAUGACUUGGUUGAGCAUGUGUGGGCUCACAUUGACAACCAAUAGAUGUAUUGGUUCAUUCAAGACAAUUUCGAUAUGGUUGUAAAACUAUUUUAUUGGAGACAAUUUCAAUUGGGUUGUAAAACUAUUUUUAUUUUGAGACAAUUACUAUUUGGACGUGCAAACUUGUUUUGAACAUUGAAAUAUGAAUAUAUGGGCAUUUCUGGCCGCAGCGGACAGGAUGGGGCCAAAGGAUGCGUCCGCGCGCUGGGCGCACGGCGCCCGCAUCCGAGGACAGGCCCGAACACGAGCCCAUUGCCCUACCCAAACGGACAUAAUCCACACAAAACGGACGUCCGUUUAAUGUCCUGCGCUGGAGUUGGCCUAAAGCUUUGAAUUACCGAUACUUGUUGCACAAUAAAUAAAUCCACACCCCUUCCUCCUCUAAGGAUAGCCGAUAUAACUAUUUGCUAAGAAGACAUUUAUUCUUUACUUCGAGAUUUUCAAUUCCCAAACCCCCUGUGUAGAGGCUAGGGGUAAUCUUCCUUUAAAAAGACGAUUUACAAAGAUCUUUUGCUUCAUCGUGUGCCAGUAAUAGAAAAUUUUCGUUGGUCCAUGAACAAUUGAAUCUCACCAACAAUGUAGUUGUACCAGUUGAAACUGAUCGUGCAACUACUGAAAAAUAGCUGGCUAGGUAGGUAGCCUUUUACUGCCAUCUACGCAUGUGCAUGUGUGCGCAUGCUGAGACCGUCCACUGCAAAGAAACUAGGUCUCCCACAGCAUUGCCAAAGAGGGUAUGGGUGCUUUAUGCCUUGGUAAAUGCAUAUCGCCAAUGGUGUUUUUCCUUGUUUUGACAAUGGAUGGAGUGUGUAGUGUGUAGACCUUUGGUGGAGCUUCACCUCCCAUUCUUGACAAAGGUAAAUAAGCUUUUAUUUUUGCGAGAAAACAAAGGUAAAUAAGUUGAUGAGUGGGCUCCUCAUAAACCUAAUCGGUGACGUCAACAAUGUAACUCAUCCAAGGGUCGGAAAAGAUUAAGGGGGUGUUUGGUUCAGGGACUUUUUAGUCCCAGAGACUAGAAAAAGUCCCUAAAAAAACCCUAGGAACCAAACAGGAGGGACUUUUUCUACAGGGACUAGAAAAAAACUCUACUAGAGAGUCUUUUUUGAUUAGUCCCUGAGACUAGAAAAAGUCCUAAGACUCCUAAACCAAACACCCCCUAACUAAACCAGACAAUUCAGUCAAAUCGUUGUACUAGCUAGCUGAUCCGAAUGUGGAUGAGCCACCGCCAGUCAUCGGAGUGGUACGGUGUGGAUGGUGCACCGUGCAGGAAGCCGGGGUUAUUAUUACGAGUACAUGCGUAGAAAUCACACUAGCUAUAGUUUGAAACUUAAACUGGCCGUGCAGCUAAUUAGAACGAGCAGGCUAGCAAGCUUUUCACUGCCCCGUAUGCAUGUGCGCGUGCUACGUUUUCACGUUUUUGUCAACCUGCAAAGAAACUGAGUGUGCCACCUCGUUGCCAAAGAGGGUAUGGGUGCUUCGCGGACGCAACUUCGCGGUAGUUUCCUUUCUCACUGCCAUUGCCAUGAGAUGAACCGGACUCUCCUCCCUGUGUGUGUGUGUGUGUGUGUGUCUGUGUGUGUGUGCGCGCUGCGGCUGGUCGACACGUAGGGUUUUGGAGCGGCCCCACGUCGCUGCUGCGGUGCCCUCGGCCACUUAAACUCCCCCCUCCACCACUAGCUAGCGUCGUCGUUGCCCUCUGUGGUUGUAGCUCGAGCCCUUUCAGAAGGAAGCACGCCAAGCUAGCAAGCUAGGAAGAACCUCCCUCCCGUGCAUCUGACCAGCGAGUGACGGUGAGUCCCCUCCAUCUCCGGCCAUCUUGCUAAUGUGCUUUUCCUCUUCUUCUUUCUCCUCCUCUUCUUCUUUUAUGUCGAAUGGGGACAUGAAAUUAGAGAAGAGGAACUAACCAUACGUUGUUGCUGAUCUCGUGAACUCAUCCUACUCCUACCUAGCUUGGAUCUCCAUGGACGGCAAGGCGCCUCAUCUGCUGCCUCUGAGUCUGAGCGAGGCCAAAAAGAAGAUCCGGGAUGACGUCCCACUGGUCUGCGGAUGGGCGCUCCUCAACGCCUUCGCCACGCUCUGCGGCGUAGCAAGCGGCUACAUAGCUGACUACAUCCAUGUGUCGUGCAGCCAGGUAACCACCUACCCGUCACCCUUCGGAUGUUUCACAUCGCAACCGAUCCAUCAUGCCCCAAGCUGCUAUGGUGUUCCUCUGCAGUCCUCCUUCAUUCUGCCGUGCAUCGAGCUGACGGACGCGGAGGCCGCCAGGCUAAUCGCCCUCUGCGUCGGGCUGCUGUGCUGCGCCCCAUUCCAGGCGGCCGCGGCGGCGCUGGCGCUGCUGCUCCCAUGCCGCCGUCGCCGGGCCCGCCGGGCCCUCGCCUACCUCGCGCUGGCGGUCACCAUCCUCUUCCAUUGCAUGUACGCCAGCGCCGUCUGGGUCUUCCUCGCCGCCGACCUAGGAUACAUCUUCGGCAGGAUCUACUUCACCACGGGCCUCUGCUUCUUCGUGGUGGGCGACCUCCUCAGCUUCCGGGUCCUCCUGGGUGGUGAGGGGUGGGGCAUGAAGUACGUAGCCUAUUUCUUCUGAUCAUGUUCGUGGAUCAGCUCACUGCGUACUGAUGAGAGCGUGGAGUAUGCAUUAAGUAUGCUGUGACGAUUGAUGGAGUAGUGCCAUAUUUGCGAAUCUAGUAGCUGGUGUAGUGUUAAUUAGUAUCCAGAUCGACUCUAUUAGUAGUUACUCCAUUUGGGCAAUGCUUUGCUGGCUAGUAUAUAAUUAGACUGGAUGGAUUGGUAGAUUGCGGUUAUCUUUGCUGUAUUAUUCAACCCUCUAUGUAUGCAUGUGAUCAUCAGACAUGAGUUAUAUGCUUACAUAGGUCCAGCUUCGCUAUA